rnacentral:rRNA from 1 species
UGGUGGAGUGAUUCGUCUGGUUGAUUCCGUUAACGAGCGAGACCAACAUUGCUUACUAGAAGGAGUUUGCGGCUAAUGGAGAAAGGCAUGAGCGCGAUUGCUUCGGCGAUUGCACUUCUGCUGGGAUCCGUGUCAGCAAGCUCAUUCUUCUUAGCGAGACAACCGGCAAAAAAGCCGGAGGAAGUUGUUGGCGAUAACA